rnacentral:rRNA from 1 species
UACAGAGGGGGCAAGCGUUGUUCGGAAUUACUGGGCGUAAAGGGCGCGUAGGCGGCCCGCUAAGUCGAACGUGAAAUCCCCGAGCUCAACUCGGGAACUGCGUCCGAUACUGGCGGGCUUGAAUCCGGGAGAGGGAUGCGGAAUUCCAGGUGUAGCGGUGAAAUUCGCAGAUAUCGGGAGGAACACCAGUGGCGAAGGCGGCGAUCUGGGAAGAUACUGACGCUGAGGUGCGAAAGCGUGGGGAGCAAACAGG